UGGGGCAUAUUGGACAAUGGGCGAAAGCCUGAUCCAGCCAUGCCGCGUGUGUGAAGAAGGUCUUCGGAUUGUAAAGCACUUUAAGUUGGGAGGAAGGGCAUUAACCUAAUACGUUAGUGUUUUGACGUUACCGACAGAAUAAGCACCGGCUAACUCUGUGCCAGCAGCCGCGGUAAUACAGAGGGUGCAAGCGUUAAUCGGCAUUACUGGGCGUAAAGCGCGCGUAGGUGGUUUGUUAAGUUGGAUGUGAAAUCCCCGGGCUCAACCUGGGAACUGCAUUCAAAACUGACUGACUAGAGUAUGGUAGAGGGUGGUGGAAUUUCCUGUGUAGCGGUGAAAUGCGUAGAUAUAGGAAGGAACACCAGUGGCGAAGGCGACCACCUGGACUAAUACUGACACUGAGGUGCGAAAGCGUGGGGAGCAAACA
rnacentral:rRNA from 1 species